GUGAAUGCAAAAAGUUGAAAAAGUGGGUGGUGAGAUUUUUUCCUAAGCAUCACACGUAUUCCACCCAAAGUCCACAUCUCUUAUUCCCUUUUGUUGCCCCAAAAGUCUUCUCUCUUAUCCUAUUUUUUUGGCUGCAUCAGAUCUAGCCCCUUUUCCUCUUUCUCUAUUUUUCUUUCUUUGUUCUUCUUUCUCUCUUCUUCUUUUGCUCUUACACAGCAGCCCUCCCCCUCUCACCAAAACAAUAUAUCCCUCUCUAAAGAAGAAAUUAAAAGGUUAACACUAAAAUUUCAGCUUCAAAGUUUGUGGGUGUUACUUGUUCCCCAAGUCUAAGCUUCUUCAACUGUAGGCUCUUGGUUUCUCUGCUUUCAGAUAAGGGAUAAGUUAUAUGGGUAUUUGUUAGCAGGUUUUAUUUUGGAGCAGAGAAAGCCUUAGUCGAGUUUGGAAGGAGCUGAUUUUAGUUUUAUAUGUAUAGAUCCUAAAUUAGCAAUUUGAUAUUUAGAUUUGUAAUAUGGUGUAUUUUAGGAUAUAAUGAAAGUGUGUACCUUAAAAUAUUAAGAGAUGUAUUAUGUGAAAUUUAGAAUUUGAAUAAUCA